GGGGAGGUCGCGGCUCCCUUGGGCGCCCGAGGACUGGAACUGCGCCCGGGAGCCGUGUUAAGACUCGCCCGGAGGACCAGAGCCGGAGUUGGUCCGAGCUUAUUCCGCCCAAAACCUAUUCAAGCCGAAGCCCCAAAGGUAGUGGAUCCCCCAGUGACCACUACUAAUAUGGUAGCGACAGCUUGCCCCAGUACUCGAAAUUGGCGAUCCCGAAGAGCAUGCGGGGGAUUGCGGGGACAAGCUGUGGUUUUGAAGUGGUUUUGAAGGCUUUUCUCCAGCCACCCCUUAUUACCCAAGACAGGGAUUCCCCGGUGCCCAAUAACUCUCAAAUCCAAAGUCUCCACGCUCCUCCACAAAGCUUUUGAGCUCUCUACUCUACCUUGCUAAGAGCCUUUUACAUCCUAGGCGACUUGGGGUUUGGGGACUGCUUGGGGCUCUAAGUAUACACCCUCUUCCCCUUACAAUAAACAACAACAACAACAACAACAAAAGUUGUAUGACUCCCCCACACUCCCCCACACACACCCCCACUUUCGAAAUUAAUUUACCUCAUCGCAGUUGGUCAAAUUUUCCAUUCAAAGAAGACAGUUUUAUGCUGCCAGAGCUCCAAGCAAUAAAUUGAACCCUGUUGAAAUUAAGUCUUGGAUGCGACAACUCCCAGCGAAGGCAAGACUUGGUCCAACAGAGAUUGUUUUCAACACAGCCUUGCAGUAUUCAGUCUCAUGGAAUGUCAUGGAGACUGGCUCCACCUCCCAUGACAUCGAUUGGAAUGCCCUGCUGAUAUUGCAUAGAUCUACAUUUUGACCUGGCUGGGAACCCCCUGCCUCAGGGUGAAGAGACAAGAAAACAUUUCCCAAACUGUGUUAUGAAUCCCCUGUUGCUCCACAAAGAAACAGUUACCAGAGGGAAAUUUGACUGACUUCCCACUCCUGAAAGCUGAAAAACAUGGAGAUGGGAAAUGAAUGAGACUACUUCCAGUUUCUCAAGCCAUGAAUCUUUAUUCUGUCCCUUGAGUGAAGACUGCAGCUUACCUACCUGAAGGAAUGCCUUGAUCUUUGUGAACCCAGCGGUUUUGACAGGACUACUGUUUACUCAUUAUGAAUGGGCUAGCAUAAACUUGAAAAGAUCUUAUGCUGGUUCAGAAGCAAAUAGAAAAAUAGAACUCAGGAUUGAAAGAUUUUGAUACAUUAUUCUGCCCAAUUGAAAGAUUUUUCAUGAAAUAAAGUGAAAUAAAAC
ensembl:lincRNA Gm16998 predicted gene, 16998